UACAGAGGGUGCGAGCGUUGCUCGGAAUUACUGGGCGUAAAGGGCGCGUAGGCGGCACUGUUAGUCAGGCGUGAAAGUCCUGGGCUCAACCUGGGAACUGCGCUUGAUACGGCAGAGCUAGAGGAUGGAAGAGGGUCGCGGAAUUCCCAGUGUAGAGGUGAAAUUCGUAGAUAUUGGGAAGAACACCGGUGGCGAAGGCGGCGACCUGGUCCAUUACUGACGCUGAGGCGCGACAGCGUGGGGAGCAAACAGG
rnacentral:rRNA from 1 species